GGCAUCACGAUGAGGUAACUGCGCCAUCAAAAUCGGAAACCUCCCCCUCCCGUCCCCCAUAUCAACACAGUCCCCUUCCUCGUCUCGUAGGAUCCCUACCUUGAGGAGAUCGAUCAUGGCCUGCCCUCCCUCCUGAACCUCGUAGCUCACCCCGACGAUUCAUUGAGGUCGAGGGCACAAGGGGCAUGUCUUGUUCACCAACUGGGACGGAAAGCAGAUUAGUCCCCACCCCUGAUUCAUAGAAACACAAGGUUUACUGAACAUAAGAGGUGGCUUAAAUCUAGUAACUGUUAAGGUUUCAGGUGUGGACGCGUGCAAUAUUUCAAUGUAGUUCUGCACCAUUACUACCUUGCAGAUAUGUAAUGGACAAGAAUUUCAGUGCACGACGAAGGGAAAUAUAUUCUGCUGCACAUAAGG